rnacentral:misc_RNA from 1 species
CGAAAAGUACAUACGUACCAAAUUGAUAGAAUUAUGAUAAUUGUCUAUUGCUGCGUGUGAUGUGCACACGGACAUGUCCUCAUUCACAAUGAAACACCAGAUUUACAACGGUAUUUGCACAGGCAUUAUUUCUAUACUCACGGAAUUAGAGAUACAAAUGGCACUCAAUUACCAAACAUGAACUAAAAAAUAGUCUUGGUCCAUGAAUGAAGAAUACACGUCUCAAUAAGCAUUUCACAUUGAGAUCAUAUUACAUACUUUAUCAAUGCAUCAUUGCAAUUCACAGGGAAAUUUAUUUUUCUGUAGCCAGCAUCAUACCAUCGACUGGAUAGCAGGUAGCACUUCGUUUAAUCCACACAAUUUUCUGUUAGUAAAUAAUGUUGCUUUUCCUUGGUAACAUCAGCUGCAACUUCCAGCUCUUGCAAACUAGACUGGGCAACAAGCCUCUCAACUGGCACUUUGGUCACAUCACGACGUAUUCCAAUAUCAGAAACAAACCGGCUGAUACAAUACAUACCACAACCCACAGCCGUCAGCCCGCUAAAGCUGGUAGUUAAAAAUCGAAGUGGUGAAGAAAUAAUAGCACUGGCAGCAGCUAAUAAGGAUGCUGCCUGCCCACUUCGACCAACACUGAUGCUCGUGAAUAUCAGAAGACCUGUCUUGCAGUAGAUUGCAAAAUCCUCACAGUUGUUCUUGAAAAUAUUAUAUCCACCAAAACCAUUUUCAAGUAGGAAAGAAGCACGGUGGAGGACAUCUUCUGGUGCAUCAGAAGCAGCAAGGGUGCAGGUCCCUCCUCUAGCUUUAGCAAGAAAGAUUGCUGGUGAGACACAAUAUUCAAAGCGGUACAGGUCCCCACCUGAAAGGAAACAAUCUAUACAGGAUUGAAUGACACCAUCAAGCCUUGACUGAUCCCCACAUUUUGGGCAUGGAUUGUCCGAAGUACGAGAAGAAGAAGAAGAGCUGAAAAUUAUUCGGUCUAAAACAGUUCCUGUCCCUAUCUCCUGACCUGCUCCACGUGUGAAGUGGAUCACCAUUCCAUCGCCAACAUAUAUCCCAUGAUGAGAGUAUAUAUAGGCGUGCCUCCAAGAGUAGAUGUGAUCCCCUGGCUUCAACUCAUCUCUUCCGAUCUUGUUUGAAAAAAACUCCCAUUCUUCUUCUUCUUCUUCUUCUU